AACGAACGCUGGCGGCAGGCUUAACACAUGCAAGUCGAACGCAUCCUUCGGGGUGAGUGGCACACGGGUGAGUAACGCGUGGGAAUAUGCCCUUCGGUUCGGGAUAACACAGGGAAACUUGUGCUAAUACCGGAUACGAUCUACGGAUGAAAGAUUUAUCGCCGAGGGAGUAGCCCGCGUAGGAUUAGCUAGUUGGUGAGGUAAUGGCUCACCAAGGCGACGAUCCUUAGCUGGUCUGAGAGGAUGAUCAGCCACACUGGGACUGAGACACGGCCCAGACUCCUACGGGAGGCAGCAGUGGGGAAUAUUGGACAAUGGGCGAAAGCCUGAUCCAGCCGUGCCGCGUGAGUGAUGAAGGCCUUAGGGUUGUAAAGCUCUUUCGCCAGGGAAGAUAAUGACGGUACCUGGAAAAGAAGCCUCGGCUAACUCCGUGCCAGCAGCCGCGGUAA
rnacentral:rRNA from 1 species